rnacentral:rRNA from 1 species
CUCCAAUAGUGUAUCUUAAUGUUGUUGCAGUUAAAAAGCUCGUAGUUGAAUUUCUGUGGCUCUGACCACCUUGGGUGCGGACUGGAGUCACAUCCGCGUUGUAACCAGGUCGUUUCGCAAGAUCACUUGGUGGAAGGCGCAUUUUACUUUGAAGAAAUUAGAGUGUUCCAGGCAGGCCUUGCUUGAAUAUUACAGCAUGG